rnacentral:lncRNA from 10 species
UUAGUGGUAGAAUAUAAGGGUGUAGGUGCCAAGGGAUGUAAUUUUCAAGAUUUGUAUAUGUUUGCAAUUUUCUCCCUAAGGUGACCCUUGCUGCUUUCCUAAUACAUUUAAGAACUUUUUGGCUAUAGAUGGGUCUUUCUCCCCCAGGGCUUGAUACCACUUCUCUGGUAGAUUUUGGCAGUACACCAGGGAUAAAUAUUGAAAUCCUGGCAUGUGGUUAUAAGGCAUUCUCCCAGAGAAAGGUCCACCAUUUAGAGCCUGAACUCCUACUCUACCAGGACCAGAAAAUAACUUCAUUCUGCAAUUGAAAGAAUCACAGCAAGCUCUCAUUGUAUCAAGGCAAACUGGCGGUCAUACUCUUCUCUAAAUGAGCCAACACUCCCUAGGAGACCUCAGUAGAACUCCCUCUUCUCUGCUGGAAAGGUUUUGCCUCCCCAGGACCCAUCCCUCACCAUCCAUGCAUGACAUUCUGGCCUCAAGUAUCCACUCCUCAAAGGAAAAGAAAUUGGAGAGAUUCGCCUUGAAAAUAAGCCUUCAUAUUAGUGACUUCCUUCUUUUAAAGGACAUCGAACAAGUUUUAUCCUCUUAUCGAUGAGUGGAACCUCUUUCUCCAUAACUUGAAUCUGCACUGGCCAUCUGGCUUGCUUUGGCCUAAAGAAUGUGGGCCAUUUCUGAGUCCAGGCUUCAAGAGGACUUUGCAUUUCCUUUUUCUCUCUUGACACACUGUUGAAGUAUAAUGUAAAUGAGCCAGGGCACUCUUAGAAGGUGAGAUACGUAGUUCAAUGGUUCUCAUUGCUCUAGGUGAUAUCCAGCUAACCCCCAGAAGCAGAGCAACUUGAACAAGUUGCGGCUGACCACUGAUCCUCAUGGAGUCAGCUUCAAUUAGAAGAAUUGCUCAACUGAGUGUGGUCUAAAUGAUCUAUUUCUAAAUUAUGAACACAAUAAAUGCUUAUUGUUUUAAGCCACUGAGAAUUAAGGUGACUUGUUAUGCAGUAACAGAUAAUUGAUAGACUGUUCAUGAGUUCUGUGUCUCUGAAGAGUUUAUGUUGUUUGCCUUUGUAAUACCUAACAUGAUGUGUUAAGAGUACUCACUCAAUAAUAAAUUAUUUAGUUAACUGAAAUGUUUCCAUAGCAAUAAGAAUAGGCAGUUGGUCAUUUGAUGAUUUAGUAUGAUCCAAAUAAUCCCUAUGAAUAAUCAAUCCAUUCUAUACCAUAUUAAGUAAUCUGAACAUUUAAUAGGAAUAUUGAUAUAUAGAAAAGGCUGAAUCUCAAGGUAGGAUGGACUGUUUCCACAAAAUUUUGAUAUUGGUUUGAACACCCAUACUCUAAUACCUGCAGUUAUAACAGAUGUUAAUCAUACAAGAAAAAUUAGAUUAAGUGUUUUCUCCCCAUUUUAAUGGUCUCUUUUAAUGGUCCCAGCACAGCUUAAAUUUCUGGAGUUCACUAGCAUCUCUAUAGUAGUCAAAUGACAGAAAUAUGGCAGCCUUGUUCAUCAAAAGUGUAGUCCUCAGACCAGAAAGAACAGUGUCACUUCUGAGCUUUAUGGAAAUACAAAAUCUGAUCUGGGGCUAGCUGAAGAAUGAAGGAAUUAGCCAGACUGAGGGAGAGUCCUUGGGAGGAUUGAUUCUAGUCUGCAGUCACUUUCUGUUCUUGUUGGAAUGUACUAUAUGGCACAGAGAUGGACAUUAUGGGCUAUUGUGACCAUGUGAUCAAACAAGUUACAAUUACAAUGGAAUCAUUGGGCCCCUGCAGUUUCUGUAUUUAUAAAACCAUGCCAUUAAAGGGCCUUAAAUGACAUUUUUCUGAACUCAUAGUUCAAUGGAAGUCAUUUUUUUCUGAAACAUGCCUCUCAUACCUGGUACACAUCAACUUUAAAAAAUCAAAAGGCGGGGAAAUCUCCCUUAUUCUCGUCUAGGGUGAAAAUGAUCUGUUCUUCCACUCUUCUCCUUAGGAAAUGGCAACUUAAUCCUUUUUCAGACAGCUAUCUUCCCCUAGGAAGCUCUCUUUUUGUGCUCUCAGCUUCAAUUACUUCGAUUUGCAUUUGCCAUGUUGUUCUAGAGAUGGGGGAAAAUGCUUUCUGCAAAUGUUAGAGUUUAUUUUUACCAAGAGAGCAUAAACCAGAGUUGGACUUGAAAAUAAAAGGGAGUUUAUCUUAUGUACUCUCUGACAAUAAAAGACUCAAUAGAAUUUUCUCUUUCAAAAAUAAAAAAGAGCUUUAUUUCAUGUUUGUUGGUCGCAUAAAUGUGUUCUUUUAAGAAGUGUCUUUUCAUAUACUUUGCCCACUGUUUUUAGGGGGUUGUUUGUGCUUUUCUUGUAAAUUUGUUUAAGUUCCUUGUAGGUUCUGGAUAUUAGCCCUUUGUCAGAGGGAUAGAUUGCAAAAAUCUUCUCCUAUUCUGUAGGUCAUCUCUUCACUCUGAUGAUAGUUUCUUUUGCUGUGCAGAAGCCCUUUAUUUAGAUCCCAUUUGUCAAUUUUGACUUUUGUUGCCAUUGCUUUUGGUGUUUUACUUACGAAGUUUUUGCCCAUGCCUACAUCCUGAAUGGUAUUGCCUAGGUUUUCUUCUAGGGUUUUUAUGGUUUUAGGUCUUACGUUUAAGUGUUUAAUCCAUCUUGAGUUAAUUUUUGUAUAAGGUAUAAGGAAGGGAUCCAGUUUCAGUUGUCUGCACAUGGCUAGUCAAUUUUCCAACACCAUUUAUUAAAUAAGGAAUCAUUUCCCCAUUGUUUGUUUUUGUCAGGCUUGUCAAAUAUCAGAUGGUUGUAGAUGUGUGGCAUUACUUCUGAGGCCUCCGUUCUGUUCCAUUGGUCUAUAUAUCUGUUUUGGUACCAGUACCAUGUUGUUUUGGUUACUGUAGCCUUGUAGCAUAGUUUGAAGUCAGGUGGCAUGAUGCCUCCAGCUUUGUUCUUUUUGCUUAGGAUUGUCUUGGCUAUACAGACUCUUUUUUGGUUCUAUAUGAAAUUUAAAGUAGUUUUUUCUAAUUCUGUGAAGAAAGUCAUUGGUAGCUUGAUGGAUAGGCAUUGAAUCUAUAAAUUAAUUUGGGCAGUAUGGCCAUUUUCACAAUAUUGAUUCUUCCUAUCCAUGAGCAUGGAAUGUUUUUCCAUUUGUUUGCAUCUUAAUUCCUUGAUCAGUGGUUCAUAUUUCUCCUUGAAAAAGUCCUUCACAUCCCCUGUAAAUUGUAUUCCUAGGUAUUUUAUUUUCUUUGUAGCAAUUGUGAAUGGAAUUUCACUCAUGAUUUGGCUCUUUCUUUGUCUAUUAUUGGUGUAUAGGAAUGCUUGUGAUUUUUGCACAUUGAUUUUGUAUCCUGACACUUAGCUCAAGUUGCUUAUCAGCUUAUGGAGAUUUUGGGCUGAGACGAUGGGGUUUACUAAAUAUACAAUCAUGUCAUCUGAAAACAAAGACAAUAUGACUUCCUCUCUUCCUAUUUGAAUAUCUUUUAUUUCUUUCUCUUGCCUCAUUGCCCUGGCCAGAACUUCCAAUACUAUGUUGAAUAGGAGUGGUGACACGGGACAUCCUUGUCUUAUGCCAGUUUUCAAAGAAUGCUUCCAGCUUUUGCCUGUUCAGUAUGAUAUUGGCUGUGGGUUUGUCGUAAAUAAAUGCCCUUAUUACUUUGAAAUAAGUCCCAUCAAAACCUCGUUUAUUGAUAGUUUUUAGCAUGAUGGGGUGUUGAAUUUUAUCGAUAGCCUUUUCUGCAUCUAUUGAGAUAAUCGUGUGGUUUUUGUCAUCGUUUUAUUUAUGUGAUGGAUUAUGUUUAUUGAUUUGUGUAAGUUGAACCAGCCUUGCAUCCCAGGGAUGAAGCUGACUUGAUCGUGGCGGAUAAGCUUUUUGAUGUGCUGCUGGAUUCGGGUUGCCAGUAUUUUAUUGAGAAUUUUUGCGCUGAUGUUCAUCAGGGAUAUUGGCAUGAAAUUUUCUGUUUUUCUUGUGUCUCUCCCAGGCUUUACUGUCAGGAUGAUGCUGGCCUCAUAAAAUGAGUUAGGGAGGAGUCCCUCUUUUUCUAUAGUCUGGAAUAGUUUCAGAAGGCAUGGUACCAGCUCCUCGUUGUACCUCUGGUAGAAUUCGGCUGUGAAUUUGUUUGGUCCUGGGCUUUUUUUCGGUUGGUAGGCUAUUAAUUACUGCCCCAAUUUCAGGACUUGUUAUUGGUCUAUUCAGGGAUUCGACUUCUUCCUGGUUUAGUCUUGGGAGGGUAUAUGUCUCCAGGAAUUUAUCCAUUUCUUCUAGAUUUUCUAGUUUAUUUGCGUAGAGGUGUUUAUAGUAUUCUUUGAUGGUAGUUUGUAUUUCUGUGGUAUCCGUGGUGAUAUCCCCUUUAUCAUUUUUAUUGUGUCUAUUUGAUUCUCCUCUCUUUUCUCCUCUAUUAGUCUGGCUAACAUUCUACCUAUUUUGUUAAUCUUUUCAAAAAACCAGAUCCUGGAUUCAUUGAUUUUUUUGAAGGGUUUUUUGUGUCUCUAUCUCUUUCAGUUUUGCUCUGAUCUUAGUUAUUUCUUGUCUACUGCAAACUCUUGAAUUUGUUUGCUCUUACUUCUCUAGUUCUUUUAAUUGUGAUGUUAGGAUGUCGAUUUUAGAUCUUUCCUGCAUUCUCCUGUGGGCAUUUAGUGCUGUAAAUUUCCCUCUGAACACUGCUUUAGGUGUGUCCCAUAGAUUCUGGUACGUUGUGUCUUUGUUCUCAUUAGUUUCAAACAACGUAUUUAUUUCUGCCUUAAUUUCGUUAUUUACCCAGUAGUCAUUCGGGAGCAGGUUGUUCAGUUUUCAUGUAGUUGUGCGGUUUUGAGUGAGUUUCUUAAUCCUGAGUUCUAAAUUGAUUGCGCUGUGGUCUGAGAAACUGUUUGUUAUGAUUUCUGUUCUUUUGCAUUUGCUGAGGAGUGUUUUACUUCUAAUUUAUGUGGGCUGUUUUAAAAUAGCUGUGAUGUGCUGAGAAAAAUGUAUAUUCUGUUGAUUUGGGGUAGAGAGUUCUGUAGAUGUCUGUUAGGUCGGCUUGGUCCGGAGCUGAGUUCAAAUCCUGAAUAUCGUUGUUAAUUUUCUGCCUUGUUGAUCUGUCUAAUAUUGACAGUGGAGUGUUAAAGUCUCCCACUAUUAUUGUGUGGGAGUCUAAGUAUCUUUGUAGUCUCUAAGGACUUACUUUAUGGAUCUGGGUCGUCCUGAAUUGGGUGCAUAUGUAUUUAGGAUAGUUAGCUCUUCUUGUUACAUUGAUCCCUUUACCAUUAAGUAAUGGCCUUUGUCUUUUUUACCUUUGUUGGGUUAAAGUCUGUUUUAUCAGAGACUGGGAUUGCAACCCCUGCUUAUCAUCAGUGGUCAUCAAAGACAUACAAAUAAUAACCACAACAAGAUACCAUCUCAUGCCAGUUAGAAUGGUGGUCAUUAAAAACUCAGGAAACAACAGAUGCUGGAGGGGAUGUGAAGAAAUAGGAAGGCUUUUACAUCGCUGGUGGGAGUGUAAAUUAGUUCAACCAUUGUGGAAGACAGUGUGGUGAUUCCUCAGGGAUCUAGAACCAGAAAUACCAUUUGACACAGCAAUCCCUUUACUGGGUAUAUUCCCAAAGGAUUAUAAAUCAUUCUACUGUAAAGACAUGUGCACACAUAUGUUUAUUGCAGCACUAUUCACAAUACCAGAAACUUUGAACCAACCCAAAUGCCCAUCAAUGAGAGACUGAAUAAAGAAGAUGUGGCACAUAUACACCAUGGAAUACUAUGCAGCCAUAAAAGAACAAUGAGUUCAUGUUUUUUGCAGAGAUGUGGAUGAAGCUGGAAACCAUCAUUCUCAGCAAACUAACACAGGAAUAGAAAAAUCAAACACCACAUGUUCUCACUCAUAAGUGAGAGUAGAACAAUGAGAACACAUGGACACAGGGUGGGGAACAUCACACACUGGGGCCUGUUGGGGUGUGGGGACCUAGGGGAGGGAUAGUAUUAGGAGAAAUACCUAAUGUAGAUGACUGGUUGAUGGGGGCAGCAAACCACUAUGGUACAUGUAUACCUAUGUAACAAACCUGCACGUUCUGCAUGUGUAUCCCAGAACUUAAAGUAUAAUAAUAAUUAAAAAAUGAAGCUAGAAAGCAUAAAUUUUUUCAAAUAAGUAAAUAGUAAAAAAGAGGAAGCCCUAGUAACUUUGACUGAUAAAGACAUGUGAUUUUAUUUCUACUAGUAAUUUGCUACUUCUAAAAAGCCAGAGAGGCUCCCAUUAUCGUAUUUAUAAAUCAAUAUGAAAAUCAUUUCUAAAAAAAUUUCUAAGAAAUGAUCCAAAUAUGGAGUUUAUAUGCAUAAGUUUGCUUUGGUUUAGUUUUUUGUGGUAUUAAAAACUUGAAAGCAACUGAGAUAACCAACGGUAUUGAAAGAGUGAAAUGAAUCAUGGUACAAUCUUUUUGUGAAGCAUUAUGAAUCCAGAAGUGGAAAUUUGCUUAUACUGCAGUGAACACUAAAUGUAAUUGCAAAAUAUUAUGACUGUCAUGUUUGCUCUGUAGAAGUUUCAUAUGCAAAAGUGAAAGCAAAACUUUCCGAAGCUUAGCUAGUGAAAUUUAAUAAACAAAAAAGCAAUAAGGCUGAUAAAUGCAUCUCAAAUUUGCACAGCAUAGUGGUUUUAAUGCUCAAAUAAAUUCAUAACAGCUUUUGGGUACCUAACAUGUAAUGAAGUAUGGGAGUCCUAAUUUCAAAAUAAAAAUUACAGUAGAGUUUCAUUUAUUAAAUUGCUUUUUAUUUUCCACACUUUAAAAAUAUUAUCAAAACUUUUAUAAUUUAAAGAUGGAUGAAAGCUACUGUUUAUGGCAAUGUUGUGGACUAGAUAAUAUGAAAACCUUCUUGUUAUCAAAAUCCUGGAAAAUGCUAGUAGCAACAUAUUAAUAUUAAUUUGAAAUUACAUAGUUAAUUUUGAAAAUGAAUCCCCAAAGGUCAAAAUCAAAGAAGAAAUUGGUAAACAGAGUCAUUAGCUGAAACGGAUGACUUGGUUGUUCUUAG